rnacentral:lncRNA from 1 species
CAAUAACAUCAUACAAAUCUCAAUUUCAUGCAUAAUCAGUAACAUAAAACAUAUAAUAAAGCUGUAGUCGUUAACAAUAACUGAUUAUCACUGUUUUUUGUUUUCACCAGCCCACUAAUAUCCAUGGAGAUCCAUAGGGGUGUCCCCGCUAUACGUGAACCAUUUUUCUUAACAGUCUUAAUUCCAAGGUCGUCCCCAUACCCCGUCCAGUAUGAGCGCUAAGAUAUUAAACUUCAAUACCCCGUCCAGUAUGAGGGUCAAGCGAGCCGUCCUC